UUUUUUUUUUAAAAAAAAUUUUGAUGUAGUGAUUAAAUACUGCAGAUUUCAUAGCAUAUCUCACAAUUUUAAUUAGUAGUAAUAAUAUAUGUAAAAAAUUCUAUUAGGACCAUAGUUGUUACUCUACUUAUUUGUAUGUGUCGGAUUAUUAUCUUCUUUUAGCAUGCAGCAUGGUUUUGGGAACUAUAUUUACAAGAUAAGAAAUUUGUGGCAGAGGUCUUCGUUUUAUGUGUUGUUU
rnacentral:misc_RNA from 1 species